GGGGAAUAUUGCACAAUGGGCGAAAGCCUGAUGCAGCGACGCCGCGUGAGGGAUGACGGCCUUCGGGUUGUAAACCUCUUUCAGCAGGGAAGAAGCGAAAGUGACGGUACCUGAAGAAUAAGCACCGGCUAACUACGUGCCAGCAGCCGCGGUAAUACGUAGGGUGCAAGCGUUAAUCGGAAUUACUGGGCGUAAAGCGUGCGCAGGCGGUUGUGUAAGACAGAUGUGAAAUCCCCGGGCUCAACCUGGGAACUGCAUUUGUGACUGCACGGCUGGAGUGCGGCAGAGGGGGAUGGAAUUCCGCGUGUAGCAGUGAAAUGCGUAGAUAUGCGGAGGAACACCGAUGGCGAAGGCAAUCCCCUGGGCCUGCACUGACGCACAUGCACGAAAGCGUGGGGAGCGAACA
rnacentral:rRNA from 1 species